AUUAGAUAAAAAACCAAUACAUGCUUUUAAAGUAUGGAAUUUGGUGAUUUACAAUAACUUAGCAAAUCGCAUAGUGAAAACAGGCGAUAAAUCAUUCAAGUUUCUGACCUAUCAGCUUUCGACGGUAUGGUAUUGGCUUACCGUGGCAGUGACGGUUAACGGGGGAUUAGGGUUCGAUUCCGGAGAGGGAGCCUGAGAAACGGCUACCACAUCUAAGGAAGGCAGCAGGCGCGCAAAUUACCCAAUUCUAACAGCAUAAGAGAGGUAGUGACAAGAAAUAACAAUACAAGGCAGUUAAAAUGCUUUGUAAUUGGAAUGAUAGAAAUUUAAACACUUUUUAAAGUAUCAAUUGGAGGGCAAGUCUGGUGCCAGCAGCCGCGGUAAUUCCAGCUCCAAUAGCGUAUAUUAAAAUUGUUGCAGUUAAAAAGCUCGUAGUUGAAUUUCUGCUAAAAAUAACCGGUCUGCUUUUAAUAAAGGUGGUAUCUUGGUGUGUUUUUAGCAAUAAUGUCCUUUGAAAUGUUUUUUACUUCAUUGUAAUAAAUUAUUUUCAGGAUUUUUACUUUGAGAAAAUUAGAGUGUUUCUAGCAGGCUAACGCUUUGAAUACUGCAGCAUG
rnacentral:rRNA from 1 species